rnacentral:rRNA from 1 species
UGAAUCUGCGAACGGCUCCGCAAACCAGUUGUAAACCAAAGCAAGCAUACUCGUGGUCUGCCCUUCACGGGGUGGGCUGCGGGUGAUACGGAUAACCCUGGUAAUUCUGAGGCUAAUACGAGACUGUACUCCCUAGCUAACCGGGCAACUGGUAGGUUGGGGGGCGUGUGAUCUAUUUGCAAGAUGAUUCCAGGAAGGGGUGCACGCUCUGACCGCGAUAAAAACAGUUCUGGUGGACCCUCACGGGCGAGCCAGUUCUGAGCGGCUCUUGCGAUGUGCUUCUGACCUAUCAACUAGAUGGCAGCGUAACGGACAUGCCAUGGUUACAACGGGUACAGAGGA